rnacentral:rRNA from 1 species
GACGAACGCUGGCGGCGUGCUUAACACAUGCAAGUCGAACGAUGAACUUGGAGCUUGCUCUGGGGGAUUAGUGGCAAACGGGUGAGUAACACGUGAGUAACCUGCCCUGGACUCUGGGAUAACUUCGAGAAAUCGGAGCUAAUACCGGAUAGGACCUUGCACCGCAGGGGGUGGGGUGGAAAGUUUUUCGGUUUGGGAUGGACUCGCGGGCUAUCAGCGUGUUGGUGAGGUAAUGGCUCACCAAGGCGUCGACGGGUAGCCGGCCUGAGAGGGUGACCGGCCACACUGGGACUGAGACACGGCCCAGACUCCUACGGGAGGCAGCAGUGGGGAAUAUUGCACAAUGGGCGCAAGCCUGAUGCAGCAACGCCGCGUGCGGGAUGACGGCCUUCGGGUUGUAAACCGCUUUUAGUAGGGAAGAAGCCUUCGGGUGACGGUACCUGCAGAAAAAGGACCGGCUAACUACGUGCCAGCAGCCGCCGUAACAC